AUUGAACGCUAGCGGGAUGCUUUACACAUGCAAGUCGAACGAGUGGCGGACGGGUGAGUAAUAUCUCGGAACGUGCCCAGUAGCGGGGGAUAACUACUCGAAAGAGUGGCUAAUACCGCAUACUCUUGGAGCGGCCUAUAUCGGAUUAGCUAGUUGGUGGGGUAAAGGCUCACACAGGCAACGAUCCGUAGCUGGUUUGAGAGGAAGACCAGCCACACUGGGACUGAGAAACGGCCCAGACUCCUAAGGGAGGCAGCAGUGGGGAAUUUUGGACAAUGGGGGAAAGCCUGAUCCAGCCAUGCCGCGUGUAUGAGAAGGCCUUCGGGUUGUAAAGUACUUUUAGCAGAGAGGCGUUAUCGGCAGAAGAAGCACCGGCUAACUACGUGCCAGCAGCCGCGGUAAUAC
rnacentral:rRNA from 1 species